CUUUUAUGAGCACACGGUCAGUACAUUUAAGUAGUUACCUGUUGGUAAGUGGAUUAACAAAAUCUUUGGAUGGAAAUCACUGCCACCAAUUUUAUAACUUACUUCGUAAGUGGGGAGCUACACUUCACUGAGCCAGUGAUCUCAAAUCACAGACCACAGACUCAGGGUAGGAAGGAAGGGAUCAACUCCCUGUGGUCCUAGCAUGUGGCUAAAACCAUGGAGACCAUGUACACAGGAGACCCCUCCUUCACAGGAGUCCACCUCUAGCCCGGACUCUGGGCGGGUGCAGCCUAGUUAUCUGGCUUCCCACCACAGUAAACUGAGGCAACACAAGGCUACAGGGUGACAGCCAACCACCGCAUUGUGAGGAAGACAUGGAGCUCCUCUGGAAGGCAGCCCAGACCAUUUCUAUGAAGCACAGUCACAUUUAGCAAUGUGGAGAAAGGACUCUCAUCUCAGCUGAUUGAUGGCAGCAGGCUACCACAGCAGUGUAUACACAACAGUUCGCUGGAGGAAAUAACUCCAGACACAAAGUCGCUGGAUGAUGGGAAAUGUCUGAUUCUUUGUUCUGUACCUUUCAGUACUCUCCAAAUUUUCUACCAAAAAAAAACCCCCAAGAAUUUAUUUGGAAAUUAUUAAAAAGGCAAACAAUGAAUGUUAUUAGGACAAGAAUAUAGCAGUCAGGAGGCCAUGACUACAUCACAGCCAGGUGGCAUUCCCUGGCACAGUGGCGGCUUGAAUCAUCAAGAAAUGGCUAAGCUGUGUAACAGCACAGGGCAUUUUGUAAAGUUUUACAAAAUUUUCUAUUUCAAAUAAGUAAAAAUUCAUUAAGCACCAAAUACACAUACUCUUAACAGUUUUGGCCAGGCGCAGUGGUGACUCAUGCCUGUAAUCCCAGCACUUUGGGAGGCCGAAGGCAGGCGGAUCACGAGGUCAGGAGUUCAAGACCAGCCUGGCCAAUAUGGUGAAACCCCGUCUCUACUAAAAAUACAAAAAUUAGCCAGGCAUGGUGGUGUGCACCUGUAGUCCCAGCUACUCGGGAGGCUGUGGCAGGAGAAUCACCUGAACCUGGAAGGCAGAGGUUGCAGUGAGCCGAGAUCAUGCCACUGUGCUCCAGCCUGG
rnacentral:lncRNA from 10 species